AAGCGAAUAAAAAUAAAAUGAAAAUGGGACAAAUAUAGUAUAUAUUUCUCAGUUUCAACAAGUGCUAAUGAUUCUAAGGAAAACUCGAUAAAAAAAACUUCGUAUUCCAAACAUGGUUGAAGGUAUAGAAAGAAAAAAGUAGCAAGUAUUCCUAGUAACUCACUUACACCAUGUUAGGUCUUUGGGGAAGCAAAAGAUUGUAGAACUUAUCGUGCAAGAAGAAAUGCUUCCCCUUGCUAUCGACCGCCUUCUUCCAUCCACACCAGCCGCCAUUCACUAUCUUCUUUAGGUCGUCAUUGCCUGUGUAGUGAGGGUCGAGUAUGAGAAACGCGCAGUCUCCACUUGUUUCGUUGUAGUCGACCCCCAAUAGUGUAUAAGCCAAAAAACCCUCCUCCUGCAGAGAUACGAGAACAGCUUAGAGCCGUAUUCUUGAAACAAAAAUACGUAGUCUGUGAUUAGCUUCUAACCGAUCAUGACUGGGUGUGCCUUGCGUCUCAAAAUGCAAGGCAAGCUCCCGACAUUUCUCCGGGAGCUCAGAUCCUGACCUCACGCUGAUAACUUUGCAAAUGACCUGUCAAGGUUGGGGUUUCAUUGCUUGAGUUAGCGAAAUCAUCGAUGCAUACGCAAAUGCCUUGAGAUGAAACUAGGAAAUUUCUUAAAAUUGCAAGUACAUGUUGACGUAGGAAAGCAAAUGAAAGGGAAAAGAAGUUGAAAGAUAUAUAUGUAUAGGUCGAAGUUUCUUCUUGAAAGAUAAGUACUUACUCCAAGUAGCUUGUCCAAAACAAAACUUAACUCGAUGGCGCCAAUCCAUUCGCGUGAGCCAAUGAAGGACGGGUCCUUGUCACCAACCUCGACCAGCGACUGUUGUAUUUCUCUGAAAUAAUACAACAUUAUUUAUGAGAUAAAUUGGAACUUUGAGAUGCUAGAUGAGGAAAUAUAUGAGCAAGUCUAUUUCCUUUUCCAGUAACAGCAGUUAUGAUGAAAAUAUGGCAUCAUUCAACUCAGACAACUCUUAGUAAAAACCAAGUACAAAAAUACUAGCAACCCCAAAUUGUCUCCUCUUUUAGCGUCUCGAAUAAACUACGUUCUGUCAAUAGGCCUCAAAUACUUUUCUAGGAGCAUAUACGAUGUUUACACCAAUAAUCGAAUUUGAGCCAGAAGACAUGGACAUUUACCAGAUGAGCUCUACAAAUGAGUUAAAGAGUUCCAUGCGAAAGUACCUAUGCGAGGGGACAUCAACGGUAGUAUAGUGUUGCUGCUUGAACCAUGAAACAAUUGUUUGCAGAGAGCGGUAAGCACAACCCCAGCCCUGAGCAUGUUAAUUACAAUUGUUAAUCAAAAUGAAAAAUUUAAGCAGAAUAAUAAUCUGAGAUGACUAGCUGAAUCCAUUUGAAAGUGACCAAAAUCAUACAAAGGCCAGUUUCACCUGCAACAAGUAAGCUGUUUGGAGCACUGACAUUUAAAGGAACACAGUUGCCUUACAUAAACAGUAAUUCCAGCUAUUGAAAAUGGGGUAACAANAUAAAAAUAAAAUGAAAAUGGGACAAAUAUAGUAUAUAUUUCUCAGUUUCAACAAGUGCUAAUGAUUCUAAGGAAAACUCGAUAAAAAAAACUUCGUAUUCCAAACAUGGUUGAAGGUAUAGAAAGAAAAAAGUAGCAAGUAUUCCUAGUAACUCACUUACACCAUGUUAGGUCUUUGGGGAAGCAAAAGAUUGUAGAACUUAUCGUGCAAGAAGAAAUGCUUCCCCUUGCUA
rnacentral:lncRNA from 1 species